rnacentral:sRNA from 1 species
GUGACCAGUGACAGAGUGAGGGGGGGUGACUAGUGAGGGAGGGGGUGACUAGUGACAGAAUGAGGGAGGGGGUGACUAGUGACAGAGGGAGGGAGAUGGUGACUGUCACUAGUCACCCCAUCCCUCCCUCUGUCACUAGUCACUCCCUCCCUAACUCUGUCACUAGUCAUCCCCUCCCUCACUCUGUCACCAGUCACCCCAUCCCUCCCUCUGUCACUGUGUCACCCCAUCCCGCCCUCUGUCACUAGUCACUCCCUCCCUAACUAGUCACCCCCUCCCUCUGUCACUAGUCACACUCUCCCUCACUCUGUCACUAGAGU